rnacentral:rRNA from 1 species
CCCUGCCAUUUGUACACACCGCCCGUCGCUCCUACCGAUUGAAUGGUCCGGCGAGCACUCUGAAAUUACUGUGUUUAUCACAAUGUAAUGAAAUUGUGCAAACCUUAUCAUUUAGAGGAAGGAGAAGUCGUAAC